rnacentral:rRNA from 1 species
CGGAGGGUGCAAGCGUUAUCCGGAUUCACUGGGUUUAAAGGGUGCGUAGGUGGGUUGGUAAGUCAGUGGUGAAAUCUCCGAGCUUAACUUGGAAACUGCCAUUGAUACUAUCAGUCUUGAAUAUUGUGGAGGUCAGCGGAAUAUGCCAUGUAGCGGUGAAAUGCUUAGAUAUGACAUAGAACACCAAUUGCGAAGGCAGCUGGCUACACAUAUAUUGACACUGAGGCACGAAAGCGUGGGGAUCAAACAGGAUUAGAUACCCUGGUAGUCCACGCCCUAAACUAUGGAUACUCGACAUACGCGAUACACAGUGUGUGUCUGAGCGAAAGCAUUAAGUAUCCCACCUGGGAAGUACGAUCGCAAGAUUG